UACGAAGGGGGCUAGCGUUGCUCGGAAUCACUGGGCGUAAAGGGUGCGUAGGCGGUCUUAUAAGUCAGUGCUGAAAUAUCCCGGCUUAACCGGGAGGGUGGCAUUGAUACUGUAGGACUUGAGUAGAGUUGAGGUUGGCGGAAUUGACGGUGUAGCGGUGAAAUGCUUAGAUAUCGUCAAGAACACCGAUAGUGAAGACAGCUAACUAAGCUCUAACUGACGCUGAGGCACGAAAGUGUGGGGAUCAAACAGG
rnacentral:rRNA from 1 species